rnacentral:sRNA from 1 species
AAAAAAAUCCAAAAAA